rnacentral:lncRNA from 1 species
ACAGAUAUAUAUUGCUUACAAUUGACUGAAAGCUGACCCACAUGAAGAUACACGAUUUACAGGUAGUGCAUCCUUGCUCUUGGGCAGUGCUUUUUUCAGACGCUGCCAAUGAUAUGAAGCCUGUGACUUUCUGGGGAGGCUGGUCCUCAAUUCCUCCUGCACAGGUUUGGUCCUGGUGGAGUUCUUUCAAAGUGUGUAAACUGUACUUCAAUUAAAGAAGUCUGCAGGGCACAUAGAGCAGAUGAACAGGAAGUGCUUUGGGACUUCUCUUGACAAGACUCUGGCAGGUGGGAAGCCCACAUGUGAAGCAGGCUUUUGAAAAUGCUGUAUGGGAGCAAAUAUUUAACAUACCAGGGGAUUGGGAAGUAAUGUUUAUUUCUCAUUAUGUUUCCCAUUUUCUCUCCCAUCUCUGAAAGGAAGUACUUAUGACUCCAAAUAAUAGAAAGAAUCCAACACUUUCAGUUCCGAGUGGUUGCAAAAUCCAAACUUGGUGCUUUUAAACAGCUGUCAAGAGGAAAGGCAGGGGUUAUUAACAAACUGGUACCAUCUUUACUAAACUGAAAUACUGACUGCAUUCAUUUUGGCUCAGGUUGUUCUUGGAAGCUUUAAAAAAUCCCAGUGAGAGUCUUUCAGUUUUGUUAGUGCAGAUGAUUUUCUGUUGGCUUUUGCUUAACUUCAGCUGACUUUCAUGUAAAUGUACCACAGACAGGGGCUUAAAAUAGCCAGAUGGUCACUGCAAAAUGUUGUUGUGGCUUGUACUUCCCCUUUCUCUCACCCUUUCCAUACGCUGCAAUCCCAGUACUAUGGGAUUGGGACAGACGGGUGAAUUGUUUUGUUCGAUGUUCUGGCUACUUUACCAACUUAAAAAUAAGGGAAUU